UCAUCGCUUCUUCCUUCACUGCCAGAUCUUUAUUUCGAUAAUCCUUUAUUUCUUGGCAUCGCCAUCAAGCUCGGCUCCAAAGUAAAAGCUACUUGAUUUCCCAUCGAUUUUUGGAAAUCGAAACAAAUAUGUGUCUGUUUUUUGAAAUCGAAGUAUUUGCUAGUUUGAAACGGUAAAUAUGUUUUUGUCUUUGAAAUCGAAGGCUACUUGUUGCGUGGUUUAAGAAAAACUUUGCAAGGCAAUUAUACCACUGAUCCCAUUUCCGUCACUUCUCUUACUCUCAACCGCAAAGCCAUUUCUGAUGUUUCGUGCUUGAGUGAGUUCAAGAAUUUGGAAAGGCUAGAUCUUAGUUUCAACAAUUUAACUUCACUUGAGCUAGUUUGAAGUCUUAUGUGAAUUUGAAGUGGUUAUCUGAUUUGCAUAACAAGAUCGAGAGCUUGAAACGGAUUGAGGGCCUCAAUAAACUAACUGAAAGUAGCACAAAUCACCACACAACCAUAUUUUACAUAUUUUUUUCCUUGUUGAGUUUUUCAAAUUUGAAGCUUUCAAGACCUUUAUUUAAUUGCUGGAAUUUGAAUUCUAUUCAGAGUAUAAAUAGGAUUAGGAUUUCAUCAGUAAUGAAGCUAUUGGUUGGAGGACUUGGAUUUCAGAGCCUUCCAGUCACUGUAAAUGCUAGCAUUUAUCAAAUGCAAGUACGUGAAUUAGACGACAAUAUUUAGAAUUUGAUGCUGCCUUUUAUCAUCACAUACAUG